rnacentral:rRNA from 1 species
GACUGAACACCGGCAGGAUCCUACCGGAGGCAGCCCGUAGGAAUCUUCCGCCAUGACGUAAGUUCGACCGGAGCAACGCCCGCUUGAGUGAUGAAGGCUUCUCGAAUCGAAAAAGCCUCUGUGUUAGGAAGAACAAGUACCCGUUCGAAUAGGCGGUACUUGACCGGUACCUAACCCAGAAAGGCCACGGCUAACUACGUGCCAGCAGCCGCGGUAAUACGUAGGUGGCAAGCGUUGUCCGGAAUUAUUGGGCGUAAAGGGCUCGCAGGCGGUUUCUUAAGUCUGAUGUGAAAGCCCCCGGCUCAACCCGGGGAGGGUCAUUGGAAACUGGGGAACUUGAGUGCAGAAGAGGAGAGUGGAAUUCCACGUGUAGCGGUGAAAUGCGUAGAGAUGUGGAGGAACACCAGUGGCGAAGGCGACUCUCUGGUCUGUAACUGACGCUGAGGAGCGAAAGCGUGGGGAGCGAACAGGAUUAGAUACCCUGGUAGUCCACGCCGUAAACGAUGAGUGCUAAGUGUUAGGGGGUUUCCGCCCCUUAGUGCUGCAGCUAACGCAUUAAGCACUCCGCCUGGGGAGUACGGUCGCAAGACUGAAACUCAAAGGAAUUGACGGGGGCCCGCACAAGCGGUGGAGCAUGUGGUUUAAUUCGAAGCAACGCGAAGAACCUUACCAGGUCUUGACAUCCUCUGACAAUCCUAGAGAUAGGACGUCCCCUUCGGGGGCAGAGUGACAGGUGGUGCAUGGUUGUCGUCAGCUCGUGUCGUGAGAUGUUGGGUUAAGUCCCGCAACGAGCGCAACCCUUGAUCUUAGUUGCCAGCAUUCAGUUGGGCACUCUAAGGUGACUGCCGGUGACAAACCGGAGGAAGGUGGGGAUGACGUCAAAUCAUCAUGCCCCUUAUGACCUGGGCUACACACGUGCUACAAUGGACAGAACAAAGGG